UACAGAGGUCCCGAGCGUUGUUCGGAUUCAUUGGGCGUAAAGGGUGCGUAGGCGGCGUGGCAAGUCUGAUGUGAAAUCCCGGGGCUCAACCCCGGAACUGCAUUGGAUACUGCCUUGCUUGAGUACUGGAGAGGGAACUGGAAUUUACGGUGUAGCAGUGAAAUGCGUAGAGAUCGUAAGGAAGGCCAGUGGCGAAGGCGAGUUCCUGGACAGUUACUGACGCUGAGGCACGAAGGCCAGGGGAGCAAACGGG
rnacentral:rRNA from 1 species